ACAUCGCUAUACAAAUAAAGGUGAAUUAAAUUGAAUUGAAUUUUUGUGCAAAACAACAAAAGGUGGGCCCUAUAGUAUCUGGUAGUAUAGUAUACCUCAGAGAUGCAAUGUCAGACACAAUGCACUCAAUGGAGCUAGUGACGUCACUGUGAGGGGUAGGGUUAGGUGUGGGCAUUAAAAAACAUUGCAUGCAGGCCAACAGCACCAAGCCUGCAUCUUGACCUCUCUCCAAAAGAAAAGUGAAAAAUACAAAAGAUGUGUAAUGAAAACUUUAGGUGUUAUAGUUCUGGGGUCCAUUUAUUUGUAUUUUGUAGAUACUGACAUUCAAAAUGUUUUGUUUCAUAUAGUGGCGUUUCACAUUUCCACUUUUUACAUUUACAUUUAGUCAUUUUACAUUUAGUCAUUUAGCAGACGCUUUUAUCCAAAGCGACUCUUUACAAUUCCAAUUGUCUCAUUACAAAUUCAGCUGAAUGGCAUUGUGCCGGCAUGUGGCAAAAUAAACGCAUACUUAUCUGGCCAUUUAACUUUAAACUGUCUAUUCUCUGAAUCAAGAUUUUUUUUCUGUGAGACCAACAUCUUCAUACAAUCACACGAUCGCUUUGCUGCAGUGCAUUAAAGCAGGUACAUGCAUGAUUAGACCGCUUGAUCACUUGAAGCCUUGUAUGAGCCUUGUAAGCACUGGGUGUCAUGACAGAAGAGUUAGUAGGAACUUGAAUAUUAAUAACUUUGAAUAUUUUGCCAUUGAAUUUAUUUCAGCCUGUAUUUUUUACAAAAUUACAAACAACUAAACUUUGUAACCCUCGAUACACAAAUGUAUUAUACGCUUUUAAUCAAUGGACCAGAUGCUCAGAAGUCUAAAUUCCUCCAAAGAGAGAGAAGAUACAACAACAGUGAAGGACUCGGACACAGAGGGUUUUAUGGCUAUAUCACUAAUAAGGUGUUUCCAAAGAAUCCACUUAAUGGUAGGCUCGCCAGUCCAACUCCACAAUGAGACACGCCGAUGGAAGUUGAGACAAUCCAAAUCCAGAAAAGAGUUCAAACUUCAAUUAAUUCGAAUCCAGAGCAGAUCACAUCCAGCAACUGACGUCAAUAGAACAUCUCACCGAUGAAAAAACAGAAGAAGAUGCACAAACGAACAAAACCAAACAAAAAAAAAAAACCUGGCCAAGGAAAUCAUUCAAAAUCAAAACGAAACAAACAGGAAAACUCCAGGUGGCACUCGUGUGCAGAUUUCACUCUCAGAGACAAAUCUUGUUUUUUUCUCUCUCAAUCCUUCAUUAAAAAUAUAUGAUUGAAAUCAUGUCAGCAUCUUAUUAAUGGUCAAUUUUCACAGUUAAUACGCAUUAAAACAUUAAAAAAUGUAAAUCUAAUAGUUAUAUUACUGUUAUUAAUAUAAAGACUUACAUCUCUGCUUUCCCUUGCGAACACUGAAUCACCAUAGCAACGGUAAACACAAGCUAACAGACAAGCGAGAUUUGUUAUUGUUUGGAAAGCUGAUCUGCUGCUAUAGUGUAAGGCACGAUGAUGUCAUUCUAAAGCACUAUUCCCUUGAAUGCUGUAUAAUACUCUAUUAUAAAUUAUUUAUAUAAGUAAAUAAUUUUA
ensembl:lincRNA